UUCAAAAUCUAUUUCUCUCUUUCCUUAUUCCUCUCGGAUUAAAGUCUUUUCUCUUUUCCAUUGUUUUGAAUAUUUUUUUUCCUAAGAUCUAAGGUUUUAACUUUUCAUUUGCCGACUUCACCGAAACUAAAACUCAAGUAAUGACCCAAUAUUGGAAUCAUACUUGAUGGUUUAGAACCCUAUUCCAUUUUCAAAAACUUUUCUAUUUUCAUAAAGGGCUCGUUUGAUUCACUGGAAAUAUACUGUUGAACAAGAAAAUUGUUUUAAAUAUUUAAAAUAUUUCCAUUUCAUCAAAUGUGCAAAUAUUUUUUGUAACGUUGAAGACAUUUCAGAAAAAAAUUUCCGGAAACAUCUUUCCACCGUGAGAGGUGGAAAGAUAUUUUCUGUUUUUUUUUUUUGCCCGUUAGGGCAUGCAAAGGCCAUCUUCUUGUCCUCAGCUGCUUCACCCCACCCACGAGAGAGAGAGGAAUGCUGCUCCUGCUGUUGCUGCCUUCCUUCGUUGCUGCUGCCUCAGAUGCAUCCGUCGUCCCUCUCACCCUCUCAUUCUCUUGCUGUUGGAUCUGGAAAAGUUGCCUCAAGAAACAUCAUCAACUCCUUGCAAGGGCUGAAAAUCAAAUGGGUACUAGCAUCAGUUCUACAAGUAAGCAAAACUUAUGGAACCAUAUGCGCGUUGACAACAACUGUGUUUCAUCUUGGCUUGGUUAAUCCUUACUAUAUUGCUCUAAUAUAUAGUGAAGUGCUUCAAUGCUUUCAGGUAUCUCUAAAUGUUUGGGGGUUUCGGCGUAUGGUACCUUUUUGGCUUCUGACUUAUUAGAAUAUAUGAUUUAGAUUAAUUUGGGUCACAUUUAGAGUGCAAAAAUGAGAGGUUGAAUGGAAAGGAAAAAGCAAAGACAUUUUUUGGUUAAUGGUUUCAUACUAGAAAUAUUCCUUAUAUGGAGUUUUUUGUGUUAUUUCUUGAAUGUCUCAACUUGCAAAACCUUUUUUGCCACUUUAAUGAGUUAUUUUAAUUUUUUUGCAGAUAUGGAGGGUCAUUACAAAUUUUUUAUUCCUUGUUAAGUUCACUAUUAAUUAUGGAAUCAUCUCGAUGAUGUAAGUUGUCUAUAGAUAAUCAAGUAUUAGUUGAGGGUAUAAAAAAGGUUCUUGUUGCUUUAGCUUUAAAGUUUUAAUUGUCCAGCAUCCGUUAGAAAGCUCUAAAAGAAUUUAAUUUUACACGACUCAUAGCUAGAUAUCAAGUCCAACUGGAACAAGGGCCCUUUGCUAGGCCAACUGCUGAAUUUUUAUGGAUGAUAAUCUUUGGAGCCAGUUGGUUGAUGGCUUGUGCUUUUUCUUUUGUUCUCUAGUAUAUUUCAAUUUUGAAAUUGAUGUUCAAGUUGUCCUUCUGAAAUAUGUCCUCUCCAUUGUGGAAGCUUAAGCCUAUUAGACUACUAACUCUCUAAUGUUAAUGUUUCAGGCAUUUUCCAUUGUUCUGCAGAUGAUGCCAUUUUUCCUAGGAGUAUCACUGGUUUUCAUGCUUUUGUAUGUAUGGAGUAGAGCAUAUCUAAAUGCUCAAAUUAACAUAUAUGGCCUUGUUACUCUAAAGGUACUGAAAAAACUAGUUCCUUAGAUUGUUAAAGUACGUUAUUUGGCCAUGGUGUGUACCUGUUAGCUAAUUUUGAGAACCCAUCAACUUCCAUCUGCAUAUGUUUUUUUUCUAGGAAAAUGCUUACGUAACAAAAUGUGGUCAUGCAGGCUUUUUAUCUGCCCUGGAUAGUACUAGCGUUGGACGUCAUCUUUGGAUCUCCUUUGCUUCCACAUCUAAUGGGGAUUGUUGCAGGUCAUCAUUAUUACUUCUUAACUGUGCUCCAUCCAUCCGUUGGAGGGAGAAACCCUUAAGUUUUUUUUUUUUCCUUGAAAAAUGGAGGGGCCUGUAGCGGUGACAAUAGUCACUACUAAACAUACCAUUUCCACGUAACAGACCAUAUUGCCAACAACUUCCACCCUCGCCAACAAAGUGGCAAGUAUUGCCAAUAACAUUAUUGGCAACGGCAGCCUGGAUUAUCCCCUACGGUGAGGGUCAUUGCCUAUGAUGUUAUUCGCAACGACUUUGUGGCUAUUUGCAAUGGCCAAAUAACAAUGUUUGUAGUAGUGCAAACAAUUAUUUCGCAUCUUUGGAGCCAAUUCUGAUGGCAAAGCCUGAAAAUAAGACUUUGAAUAUCAGAUGCAAAACAAAAUGAAGAAAAAAAAAAACUUGCUAGAUGCUAAUCUAAUAUUAGAAAGUUUAACCACUUACUUUUUUCAGGGCCCUCACAAUACCACAUGCCCACAUGCAACAGAAAAGCUAAUCCAUUAUAUUCAACUCUUUGCAGAAGCAUGGAUAUUCUAUCUUUGCUUACUACAAACACUGUCUAAUUCUCAUAAACUAAAAGGCCCCAUCAGAAGUUCUAAACCAAACAGGAAGAAUCUCCAACCCUUUAAAUAUAGAAGAGAAACAAUACUUUUGGCACUAUACCAUCAUGAGGUAGACAUAACAAUUCAGUUUGCCAUUUCCCAUAGAGUUCCAGAGUUCCUUUGCUAUCAUUCACCUUGAGCUCAUCACCAUCUUGAAAUGCUUGUACUCUAUUGACUUUUCAAGUGUGUUUCACCACCUGAAAGACUCAUACUGGACACUGAUCAAAUUAGAAUGAAUAGCUGGUGGAAGAUAGUCCUUUUUCAAAUUUGAACAUGUUGAAACAUACUGAAGGGAAUUGUAGUGCCUAACUUUUGCUGGAAGUUUGAACUUCCUUGACUUGCAACCCUUCUUGCAGCCACCUCUGUUUUGAGCAUACUGUUUGCACACAAUUUCGGGGAUACACAGGUUGACCAGAACAUAACCAAACAAAGGACCCUUGGGAUAAAAAACCUGAUACUUUGUCAACCACCAUUCUGCAUAAGCGCACUGACAUCAUUAACAAUGAAAGAGAUGGAUUGUUUUCAUGCAGUUCAAUGCACAUAGGAAUGUCACCUUGGUGCACUAAGAAAAAUAGUAAUAUUCGGCUCUUUUUAAAUUUAACAAGUUAAUCAUUGCAGUCAUAAGAAAUAAUAAACGACCAUAUAUAGGGAAUUUUGACGGAUAAUAUUUUACCAAUGUACAUUUGAAAAGACAAUAAUGAGGCUUGUAGAGCUUUGUUGCUCAAAACAAUCGGUAAAUUUGUAAUAAAGGGAAAGGAUAUUUUAUUUUAAAGGAGAGAUACUUCUCAAGGUAAAGUUAC